UGGAUGUGUGUUGCUGCCACAGCAGC
rnacentral:piRNA from 1 species